AUGUCCCCCACCCCUCUGCCCAACAUCACAAUGGGAAUGCAUAGGGGUAAAGGUGUGUGUGGGGGGGAAUCACAGGUGGUAGAGCUGGAGGGGAGCAGAGUGCUCAGGCCAUUACCAUCCCGCUCUCUCCACUGGCUGAGGAUUUUCCCCACUUUUUCUUCCCCUUUUCCCAGCAACCCAAAAGGAACACUUUCUCCCUUCUCUGUUUGUGAUAAAGGGGGACAGUCAGCCCCAGAAGUCAAUCUAGUCUGGCCACUGGAUCUGGGAUCUAUCUGCUACCCUUCUUCAUACCAGAAGAAGUUCUGUGAAGGGGAGACUCUUGCCUCGCUGACGGACCAGGUGAAAAUGGAAGGACAAAUACCUGAGAAACUGCUCACAGCAGCCCUCGCCUCCCUGACCCAUGGGCAGAGGCCAAGGGGCUCUUGCUACACCUGCAGACAGAAUGAGCAUUGGUCGAAGGGUUGUGCUUCAAAGGGAAGAUUGCAACUCGACUCCCAUGCCUAGUCUGUGGACAACAAGGACACUUGAAACUCCAGUGCCCCUACACGCAGAGACCCCAGCAACCCAAGAGCCAUCCCCCUAUCCUCCAGUCUGCUGAAGACUUGGAAGAGGGGUGCCUUGGGGCCUGUGUGCUCCUAAUUUCCAUCACUAUGGCUGAACCCAGAGUAGGGUUCAAGGUAGAAGGUAAGAUGAUUGAGUUUCUCAUAGAUACAGG
rnacentral:lncRNA from 1 species